rnacentral:rRNA from 1 species
GACGAACGCUGGCGGCGUGCUUAACACAUGCAAGUCGAACGAUGAAGCCCAGCUUGCUGGGUGGAAGAGUGGCGAACGGGUGAGUAACACGUGAGUAACCUGCCCUGAACUCUGGGAUAAGCACUGGAAACGGUGUCUAAUACUGGAUACGACCUAUCACCGCAUGGUGUGUGGGUGGAAAGAUUUAUCGGUUUUGGAUGGACUCGCGGCCUAUCAGCUAGAUGGUGAGGUAAUGGCUCACCAUGGCGACGACGGGUAGCCGGCCUGAGAGGGUGACCGGCCACACUGGGACUGAGACACGGCCCAGACUCCUACGGGAGGCAGCAGUGGGGAAUAUUGCACAAUGGGCGCAAGCCUGAUGCAGCAACGCCGCGUGAGGGAUGACGGCCUUCGGGUUGUAAACCUCUUUUAGUAGGGAAGAAGCGAAAGUGACGGUACCUGCAGAAAAAGCACCGGCUAACUACGUGCCAGCAGCCGCGGUAAUACGUAGGGUGCAAGCGUUGUCCGGAAUUAUUGGGCGUAAAGAGCUCGUAGGCGGCUUGUCGCGUCUGCUGUGAAAUCCCGGGGCUCAACCCCGGGUCUGCAGUGGGUACGGGCAAGCUAGAGUGCGGUAGGGA